rnacentral:rRNA from 1 species
AUGGUUCCUAAGAAGGACAAGUCGCUCCGAAUGUGCAUUGAUUUCAAGCACAUCAACCGGGCCUGCCCGAAAGAUCACUUUCCUCUCCCUCGCAUAGAUCAAAUUGUUGACUCGACCGCGGGAUGCGAGAGGUUGUCUUUUUUAGACGCCUAUUCCGGGUACCACCAGAUCCGUCUGUACGGGCCCGAUGAGGUAAAAACAGCUUUCAUCACUCCAUUCGGGUGCUUCUGCUAUAUCACCAUGCCAUUCGGCCUCAAGAAUGCCGGAGCCACAUUUAUGCGAAUGAUUCAGAAGUGUCUACUCACUCAAAUCAGUCGGAAUGUGGAAGCUUAUAUGGAUGAUAUUGUUGUCAAGUCACGAAAAGGUUCCGACCUGCUCGCUGACCUCGCCGAAACAUUUGCCAACCUCAGAAGGUAUGAUAUCAAGCUCAAUCCAUCAAAAUGCACAUUUGGAGUUCCUGGUGGCAAGUUACUCGGUUUUCUCGUUUCCGAACGGGGAAUCGACGCUAACCCAGAGAAGAUUGGCACUAUUCUCUGA